CCUACGGGCGGCAGCAGUGGGGGAUAUUGCACAAUGGGGGGAACCCUGAUGCAGCGACGCCGCGUGGGUGAAGGAGCGUUUCGGCGCGUAAAGCCCUAUCGGCAGGGAAGAAGGAGGACGGUACCUGACGAAGAAGCCCCGGCUAACUACGUGCCAGCAGCCGCGGUAAUACGGAGGGGGCAAGCGUUAUCCGGAUUUACUGGGGGUAAAGGGGGCGCAGACGGCAGCGCAAGCCAGGAGUGAAAGCCCGGGGCCCAACCCCGGGACUGCUCUUGGAACUGCGCGGCUGGAGUGCAGGAGGGGCAGGCCGAAUUCCUGGUGUAGCGGUGAAAUGCGUAGAUAUCAGGAGGAACACCGGUGGCGAAGGCGGCCUGCUGGACUGCGACUGACGUUGAGGCCCGACAGCGUGGGGAGCAAACAGGAUUAGAUACCCCAGUAGUC
rnacentral:rRNA from 1 species